GUGACCUUGUGUGAUUCUGAGCGGGGAGGAACGGAAGAAUGUGGUCAGCCCUCACGGAGUCUAGCACUACAACUGUGAACGGAUGAAUUCCCUCCAUGUCUGCAGUGUCUCAGAAGCAGCCAGUGUCUCCACUGAGGUACUGAUCCAAGUUGGACAGCUGUUCAACUGAUCACGCCCACCAGCAAUCUGGUUUUCACUAAACCAGGAGACUUCAAGCUCUGUCCCUUGGAACUUGUACUCAGAACCAGAUUUCCUUCAGGAGGGGUCACUGCUACUGGGCACGUAUGCCCUGACACUGUGGAUGCCAUGGGAAGAGUUGAGGGAGAGCUCUGCUUGCCCUUCGUGCUGGAAAACCUCCAGGACACAGAGUUGACUGUCUCAUGGCAUCACGUCUUCCAAGAUAGUGGCUUUUUCCCAUGUAAGGAUCAUUCCAGGGACUAUCGACCACCCCUGAUCAAGUCUUAUCAUGUUAGUUUGGACUCUUCCAAGAAAAGCCAUCUACUAAU